rnacentral:rRNA from 1 species
CCUACGGGUGGCUGCAGUGAGGAAUAUUGGUCAAUGGCCGGGAGCCUGAACCAGCCAAGUCGCGUGAGGGAAGACGGCCCUACGGGUUGUAAACCUCUUUUGUCAGGGAGCAAGGUGCAGGUCGGGUCCUGCUGUGAGAUUACCUGAAGAAAAAGCAUCGGCUAACUCCGUGCCAGCAGCCGCGGUAAUACGGAGGAUGCGAGCGUUAUCCGGAUUUAUUGGGUUUAAAGGGAGCGUAGAUGGGUUGUUAAGUCAGUUGUGAAAGUUUGGGGCUCAACCGUAAAAUUGCAAUUGAUACUGGCAGUCUUGAGUACGGUUGAGGUAGGCGGAAUUCGUGGUGUAGCGGUGAAAUGCUUAGAUAUCACGAAGAACUCCGAUUGCGAAGGCAGCUUACUAACCUGCCACUGACAUUGAUGCUCGAAAGUGUGGGUAUCAAACAGGAUUAGAUACCCCGGUAGUC